rnacentral:rRNA from 2 species
UAUGGUUUGAUCCUGGCUCAGGACGAACGCUGGCGGCGUGCCUAAUACAUGCAAGUCGAGCGGACAGAUGGGAGCUUGCUCCCUGAUGUUAGCGGCGGACGGGUGAGUAACACGUGGGUAACCUGCCUGUAAGACUGGGAUAACUCCGGGAAACCGGGGCUAAUACCGGAUGCUUGUUUGAACCGCAUGGUUCAAACAUAAAAGGUGGCUUCGGCUACCACUUACAGAUGGACCCGCGGCGCAUUAGCUAGUUGGUGAGGUAAUGGCUCACCAAGGCAACGAUGCGUAGCCGACCUGAGAGGGUGAUCGGCCACACUGGGACCGAGACACGGCCCAGACUCCUACGGGAGGCAGCAGUAGGGAAUCUUCCGCAAUGGACGAAAGUCUGACGGAGCAACGCCGCGUGAGUGAUGAAGGUUUUCGGAUCGUAAAGCUCUGUUGUUAGGGAAGAACAAGUACCGUUCGAAUAGGGCGGUACCUUGACGGUACCUAACCAGAAAGCCACGGCUAACUACGUGCCAGCAGCCGCGGUAAUACGUAGGUGGCAAGCGUUGUCCGGAAUUAUUGGGCGUAAAGGGCUCGCAGGCGGUUUCUUAAGUCUGAUGUGAAAGCCCCCGGCUCAACCGGGGAGGGUCAUUGGAAACUGGGGAACUUGAGUGCAGAAGAGGAGAGUGGAAUUCCACGUGUAGCGGUGAAAUGCGUAGAGAUGUGGAGGAACACCAGUGGCGAAGGCGACUCUCUGGUCUGUAACUGACGCUGAGGAGCGAAAGCGUGGGGAGCGAACAGGAUUAGAUACCCUGGUAGUCCACGCCGUAAACGAUGAGUGCUAAGUGUUAGGGGGUUUCCGCCCCUUAGUGCUGCAGCUAACGCAUUAAGCACUCCGCCUGGGGAGUACGGUCGCAAGACUGAAACUCAAAGGAAUUGACGGGGGCCCGCACAAGCGGUGGAGCAUGUGGUUUAAUUCGAAGCAACGCGAAGAACCUUACCAGGUCUUGACAUCCUCUGACAAUCCUAGAGAUAGGACGUCCCCUUCGGGGGCAGAGUGACAGGUGGUGCAUGGUUGUCGUCAGCUCGUGUCGUGAGAUGUUGGGUUAAGUCCCGCAACGAGCGCAACCCUUGAUCUUAGUUGCCAGCAUUCAGUUGGGCACUCUAAGGUGACUGCCGGUGACAAACCGGAGGAAGGUGGGGAUGACGUCAAAUCAUCAUGCCCCUUAUGACCUGGGCUACACACGUGCUACAAUGGACAGAACAAAGGGCAGCGAAACCGCGAGGUUAAGCCAAUCCCACAAAUCUGUUCUCAGUUCGGAUCGCAGUCUGCAACUCGACUGCGUGAAGCUGGAAUCGCUAGUAAUCGCGGAUCAGCAUGCCGCGGUGAAUACGUUCCCGGGCCUUGUACACACCGCCCGUCACACCACGAGAGUUUGUAACACCCGAAGUCGGUGAGGUAACCUUUUGGGAGCCAGCCGCCGAAGGUGGGACAGAUGAUUGGGGUGAAGUCUUAACAAGGUAGCCGA